CCUGAGUUAACCUUGGAGUCGGGUUGUUUGUGAAUGCAGCCCAAAGCGGGUGGUAAACUCCAUCCAAGGCUAAAUACUAGCACGAGUCCGAUAGCGAACAAGUACCGUGAGGGAAAGUUGAAAAGUACUUUGAAGAGAGAGUAAACAGUGCGUGAAACCGCUCAGAGGUAAACAGGUGGAGUUGAACUGUAAGCUGCGGGAAAUCAGCUGGUGUGUUUGGCAUGGGCUUGGACAUAUUGGUCGGCCUACGGAGUCCGCUUAGCUGCGGGUUUCUGCUCUUCGGAGUGGGAAUGUGCGUUGCACUUAUCAAGUGUUGUGCGCUCCGGUGGUUGACGGCCUGCUCGCCAGUGCACUUUCCCGUAGUGAUCACCACGACCGGCGCUGUUGCCUUUCUGCUGUGGUCAAACCGUUCAGGUGUGGUCUUCGGACUGAAUCUGUCGGGAUGGCAGGUAGCUCGUUGGUUGGCUUGCCGGCCAAUGGGUGUAAUAAGCUGUCUGCAGUAGAUUUGUGCAAUGCGUCGGGGACGGCGGCUUCUGGCAUGGGCGUGCGUGUCCUCUGCUGGCAGGGUCGGGUCUGAUCAACAUGUUUACUCACUAAAGUGGGUCUGUUGGUGGCUCGGUUUUGUCCAGUAGGGGUUCGCGUACGUGU
rnacentral:rRNA from 1 species